rnacentral:misc_RNA from 1 species
CCUGUGCUCUUCCUUCAGACUUCUCCUGUUCUCUAAUGUUAUCAUCAGCCCUUUUUCCAGAUACUUGCUCCCCUUGGACAACAGGGGCACUUCCUGUAGCUCCCAUUUGUUCCACCUCUAGAUUUUCAAGUAAACUUACCUUAUCACUUUUUUCUUCUACUUUUUGAUCAAUUGACCUGGCCUCUAUGCCAACCCAGUCGGUAGCAUUCCCGUCUCCUAACUGUGUUACAGUUUCUUCAACAUUUUGAUCAGUUUCCUUUAGCCCUUCCUCUACACCUCCAUGGACAUCUUCUGCACUUUGCUUGUAAUUGUCCACUCCUUUAUCA